UUCGCAAUGCCCGAAAGGGUGAUGCAGCAACGCCGCGUGAGGGAUGAAGGCCUUCGGGUCGUAAACCUCUUUCGACCGGGAAAAACGGUCCGCCGAAGAGGCGGAUCUGAUGGUACCGGUGGAAGAAGCCCCGGCCAACUACGUGCCAGCAGCCGCGGUAAUACGUAGGGGGCGAGCGUUGUUCGGAAUCACUGGGCAUAAAGAGCACGUAGGCGGUCGGGCAAGUCCAUUGUGAAAUCCCCCGGCUUAACCGGGGAACUGCAAUGGAUACUACUCGGCUUGAGUGCAGGAGGGGAGAGUGGAAUUCCUGGUGGAGCGGUGAAAUGCGUAGAUAUCAGGAGGAACGCCGGCGGCGAAAGCGACUCUCUGGUCUGCCACUGACGCUGAGGUGCGAAAGCUAGGGGAGCAAACGGGAUUAGAUACCCCGGUAGUCCUAACCCUAAACGAUGGGCACUAAGUAGAGGGGUUUU
rnacentral:rRNA from 1 species